UUUGCAAGCCGUCUUAUCGCUGUUCUUUAUACAGAGGAAAGUCCGGACACCAUAGAGCAAUGCAUCGGGUAACUCCCGACAUCGUUAGAUAGGAAUAGUGCAACAGAAAGUAUGUACAGUUAGGCUGUAGUGGAAUCUUGUAAACUCUGCAUGGUGAAACACCAAGUAUAUCUGUAAAUUAAGGUUGCUCGCCUUAUACAGAAGGGUAGGUGGAUUGAGCAUUUUAGUAAUAAAAUGCCUAGAUAAAUGAUAAGACUCGACAGAAUCCGGCUUAUAGGCUUGCUUUUUUA
rnacentral:RNase_P_RNA from 1 species